AACGAACGCUGGCGGCAGGCCUAACACAUGCAAGUCGAGCGGGACCUUCGGGUCUAGCGGCGGACGGGUUAGUAACGCGUGGGAACGUGCCCAAAGGUACGGAAUAGCCUCGGGAAACUGAGAGUAAUACCGUAUGUGCCCCUCGGGGGAAAGAUUAUCGCCUUUGGAUCGGCCCGCGUUGGAUUAGGUAGUUGGUGGGGUAAUGGCCUACCAAGCCGACGAUCCAUAGCUGGUUUGAGAGGAUGAUCAGCAACGCUGGGACUGAGACACGGCCCAGACUCCUACGGGAGGCAGCAGUGGGGAAUAUUGGACAAUGGGCGCAAGCCUGAUCCAGCCAUGCCGCGUGAGUGAUGAA
rnacentral:rRNA from 1 species